rnacentral:lncRNA from 1 species
UCUUUAUCUUUUAUAUCUUGACGUGAACAGAGAAUUCUGAGCAAGUUUUGAUGUGGAAAGGGGGGUCAAAUCACAGGAAAUGGUUUGUCAGCCUUGGAUUGCUGAGGAGAGUGGAGUGUCUCUACCGGGACUCAGGAUGAAGUUUUCGAGUGUCAAGAAGCAUGGAACAAUACCAAGUACUGCAAUGUCACAUCAAUGACAGAAAGCUCUGUGUGAAGCCCAAGUCUUCGCAGCAUCGAGUCAGAGCCCGGAGGAAUCAGGCCUGUGGGCAGAAAGUCCUGUGGAGAGAGAGGCACAGUCAAGGGACACUUCAAAAAGAAACAGCACAAGUGUCGCCACCUAUAGGCAGAAAAUAUACUACAAUAAUGAAAGAGUGGCUAUAUCCAGUGAUGCUGAUGGCUAUUUUGACCUUCAAGAACUCCGGCCUGUGA